rnacentral:lncRNA from 1 species
GGAGAAGUUUGAGGGAUUCUCCAGUUGUGUCUUCCUCUGUACAGACUAUCUACAGUUACAAGGUUGGUUGGCUGAAGUGACAGCAGGAUUUUUGAGCAUUUGAUACCUACAGUAAGCACUUAGGGCACAGUUCUCUUGUCCCCUCCUCCCCACCCC